rnacentral:snRNA from 1 species
AUUACUUCUUGGCCUUUUGGCUUAGAUCAAAUGUAGCAUCAGUUUAAUGUGUGUUGUGCUCCUGGGAUGGAGUCUGUGGUGUAAGAUACCCUAUUCUUUAUCCUUUUCUUUUGGUUGGUUUGUUUUUUAAGAAAACCUUUCUGUUUUUGUCACUAACAUACUCAAAAAGGAAAUAUCA